UACAUGCAAGUCGAGCGCCCCGCAAGGGGAGCGGCAGACGGGUGAGUANCGCGUGGGAAUCUACCCAUCCCUACGGAACAACUCCGGGAAACUGGAGCUAAUACCGUAUACGCCCUUUGGGGGAAAGAUUUAUCGGGGAUGGAUGAGCCCGCGUUGGAUUAGCUAGUUGGUGGGGUAAAGGCCUACCAAGGCGACGAUCCAUAGCUGGUCUGAGAGGAUGAUCAGCCACAUUGGGACUGAGACACGGCCCAAACUCCUACGG
rnacentral:rRNA from 1 species